AAGCUAACUAACAAACAUUCCAACAAUAGUCAGAAGCAUCCGUUUGGGAAUUGCCUUGAUUAUCGUAAUUAUUGCACCCGGUAAUAUAAUCAUAGGAUUUUUGAUAGCUCCAUGUAUUACAUUCAGACAUGUCAGUAACACCAGCACUACACCAAUCAUACUGAAUUUGGAAAUGAGGCAUGCAAAUAUAGCUACCUGUGCUUGUACCUUGAACAGUUACCGUUGAAGUCCAGCUGCCAGGAUUAGAAAUGUUGUCCACUUUAGAGUUGUAUGAGUACAAGAGAUAGGUUUGAGAUAAUCCCAAUAUCUUUAAUUCACUCAAUGAUUUUUUCGACAUAGUCGAAGAAGUAGUGAACUGAACUGUAGCAUCGUA